UAGCACAAUCAACAGCAACCAGGAGCUCUCUCGAAGAUAUGGAGUUGGAAACUAGGGCACUGACUGAACCUCUUCCAACAAAUCAACAGGCUUACAGAAACCAUCG